UACGAAGGGGGCUAGCGUUGUUCGGAAUUACUGGGCGUAAAGCGAACGUAGGCGGUGUUCCAUGUCAGAGGUGAAAGCCUGGGGCUCAACUCCAGAAUUGCCUUUGAAACGGGGACGCUUGAGUCCGAGAGAGGAUGGCGGAAUUCCUAGUGUAGAGGUGAAAUUCGUAGAUAUUAGGAAGAACACCAGUGGCGAAGGCGGCCAUCUGGCCCGGUACUGACGCUCAGGUUCGAAAGCGUGGGGAGCAAACAGG
rnacentral:rRNA from 1 species